AUGCGCGGAUUCUUUUCCCCUCCCAUCCCCUGGAUCCGGACAUGGAUCGGGCAGCCAUCUUCACCCGCCACAUCCUGGCGGGCCUCUUGUCGCCGUUCACCGUGUUUUUCCUCGCCAUUCACCGUGUUUUUCCUCGCCGUCCCGAGCGGCUUCGAUUUUUACCUCAUCCACCUUCCUCCCAGCUCCAUUCUCGUGUUGGCCACCUUCGUCCAUCUCUGUGAGAUGUUCAUGGGGGUGGCACCCUCCAUGGCGCUCUUCCACCACUACUUCGUCCUCCGACCAUCUGAAGGGGAAGAGGUGGCGGGCAGCUACAUUUCGUCCUCCGCAAGGGCUCCGCCGACCGCUACAUCCCAUGGUUUACAAUGGUGA
rnacentral:rRNA from 1 species